rnacentral:rRNA from 1 species
AUUGAACGCUGGCGGCAGGCCUAACACAUGCAAGUCGAACGAGGGGCGGAGGGGUGAAUCAUGUAUGGGGAUCGGCCUGAUGGGGGGGGAUAACUACUGGAACCGGUAGCUAAUCCCGCAUACCAUCAGAUGAACCCAGAUGGGAUUAGCUUGUAGGUGUGGUAACGGCUCACCAGGGCGACGAUCCCUAGCGGGCCUGAGAGGAUGAGCAGCACCCCUGGAACUGAGACACGGCCCAGACUCCUACGGGAGGCAGCAGUGGGGAAUAUUGCACAAUGGGCGCAAGCCUGAUGCAGCCAUGCCGCGUGUAGGAAGAAGGCCUUCGGGUUGUAAAGUACUUUCAGUGGGGAGGCGUUACCGACAGAAGAAGCACCGGCUAACUCCGUGCCAGCAGCCGCGGUAAUAC